GCCUCAUUAUCCUAAAUCAAAGACAUAAUUUUCAAAUAUAAAAGGAUUCAUUUUUCAUACUACCUUGGAGCCCAACGCAGUCGUCAAGAGAAAGGGAGAAGAGAAAACAGAGCACCCAGCCUGAGAAAGGUGAUGAGAGCCAGGGAGAAGCCAAAUGUGGGAAGUCAGGGCCAAAGACCUAUAAGGUCUCUGUGAGAUUGUCAACUCUGCUCCACAAAGUCAUUCAUGGCCAAAAUUCCUUCCAUCUCUCUGCUUGACCAUGCUUUAGGGUAUUGUCCACAUCUGCAUCAUCAAAGCUGGGUUGCUUCCAUUUCCUAUUCCAGUAUGCAGAAAGAGGCAAAGAAAACAAAGUCCAAAGAAAGAAACAUGGCUUUCAAGUGAAGAUGACCUAGCUGUUGCAAACAUUUACUUCCAUUCAUAUCCCAUUGACUUAUAUUUAUUGUACCUAGAGAUAACGGAAACCAGGAAAUGUGGUCUCAAGCUUGGAGGCUAUAGGCCUAUCAAAGAAAGGGAGAUUGGUUUUGGAGAGAAAACUAAUAGACCGUCACUAUUAAAGACUUUAUGGAGGGAUCAGGUUUAUACAGUAAGUGGUGCAAGAACUCCAUGGGAGAGUUAAGAAACCAGAAUAAAAAUUUGAUAAGAGGAGUACAUUGUGUCCUAACAAUGACUAAUAUGAGACAAAUGAAGGACAUUUGAGCUUUGA